UACGAAGGGGGCUAGCGUUGCUCGGAAUUACUGGGCGUAAAGGGCGCGUAGGCGGACAGUUUAGUCAGAGGUGAAAGCCCAGGGCUCAACCUUGGAAUUGCCUUUGAUACUGGCUGUCUUGAGUUCGGGAGAGGUGAGUGGAAUGCCGAGUGUAGAGGUGAAAUUCGUAGAUAUUCGGAGGAACACCAGUGGCGAAGGCGACUCACUGGCCCGAUACUGACGCUGAGGCGCGAAAGCCAGGGGAGCAAACGGG
rnacentral:rRNA from 1 species